UACGUAGGGAGCAAGCGUUAUCCGGAUUUAUUGGGUGUAAAGGGUGCGUAGGCGGUUUGAUAGGUCUGUGGUCUAAGCCCGAAGCUUAACUUCGGUUCGCCAUAGAAACCGUCAAACUUGAGUAUGGUAGAGGCAAGUGGAAUUUCUAGUGUAGCGGUAAAAUGCGUAGAUAUUAGAAGGAACACCAGUGGCGAAGGCGACUUGCUGGGCCAUCACUGACGCUGAGGCACGAAAGCGUGGGGAGCAAAUAGG
rnacentral:rRNA from 1 species